GAGGCAGUGCCUUCUAACGCUAAAUACUUCUCGAAUCCGAUAGAGCACUAAGUACCGUGAGGGAAAGUUGAAAAGUACUGUUUGAAGCAGGUUGCAAAGAACUUGAAACUGUACGGUUAUAGGUUAGGCAGAGCAUGAAAGCUUCGAAGCAUGUAACGACAAAGGAGAGAUCCUUCAGUAGGAAAGUGUGGAGCGAUGUUCUGUCAUCCGUAUUGAAAAACGGGGCAGGGAGUGUGUUAGCCGUGGCGAGGUAAACUGGUUUAUGCCAGUAAGCCGCAGCGAAAGCAAGAAGCCCGCAGCAUCCUUUAUUGGAUUGCGAGGGGCCGCGUUGUAACAGGCGUGGAGUCACCGCAACACGAUCCGAAACCGGUCGAUCUUGGCUUGGAUAGGAUGAAGCGAGGCGAAAGCCUCGUGGAGGUCCGAACCGUUGCUACGAUACAAGUGCUCGGAUAAUCUGAGUCAAGGGGUGAAAUGCCAAUCGAGAUCGGUGAUGGCUGGUUCCUUUCGAAAUGGAUCGAAGUCCAGCUUCAAGCGAGCCGCUUGUGCAGGUAAAGCCACUGAUUUCGUUGCUCUACAGCUUUGCUGUAGAGGCGAUGUCAAACUCUGAACUGUACAAGGGCGUAGACCUUGGAAGUCAGGGACGGUGCGUAAGGUACCGUUCCGAGAGGGAAACAACCCAGAGCAAGGUUAAGGUCCCUAAUUCUUGGCUAAGUGCAAAUUCAAAGGAUGUCCUGGUUCUCAGACAGCGGGGAGGUUAGCUUAGAAGCAGCUACCCUUUAAAGAUAGCGUAACAGCUCACCCGUUGAGAGCCGGGGCGCCGAAAAUGUUCGGGGCUAAGCCAAGAACCGACACCUUGCCGCAGACCUCUCAUAGAAGUCUGUGGGUAGAGAAGUGUUCUGCGCAGGGCGGAAGCAUGGAGGUGACUUCGUGUGGACCGCGUAGAAACAAAAAUCCUGCCGGCAGUACCAACGUCAUUGAGAGUGCGAAUCUCUCACGCCUAAAGGGGAAGGGUUCCUCGGCAAUGAUCGUCAACCGAGGGUUAGCCGGUCCUAACUCUUUUCGUAACUCGACGAAGAGGAACAGGCAAACAGGUUAAUAUUCCUGUGCCUACUUGCACAACGUGACUUUUCGGGAUAACGGAAGCUGUGCCUUCGCGCAGUCCAAACAGUUGAUGUGUGCGAGCGUAACGCUUCGACCACACGAACCUGUGACGGGCCUGAGAAUAAUCUCGGGUUUUCGUAAUUCCUGGAAACCUUGAAAAGCUGCAAGAGACCGUACCGAGAACCAGCACAGGUCCCCAGGCUGAGAAGGCUAAGGCGUAUCGGGUAUCAACGCGGCUCAGGGAAUUCGGCAAGUUAGCCCCGUACGUUCGCAAUAAGGGGUGCCUAUCGUCUUGCUACGAUAGGUUUCAAUGACCAGAAGGGCUCGACUGUUUACUAAAAACACAUCUGACUGCCAGUCCGAAAGGAUUUGUACAGUCAGAGACCCUUGCCCAGUGCCAGCACCUGAACACUCCGUUCAAGGAGACGAAGGGCUGGUAAACGGCGGCAGUAACUAUGACUGUCUUAAGGUAGCGUAGUCCCUUGCCAAUUAAUUAUUGGCCCGAAUUAACAGGGCAACGAGGUCCUUACUGUCCCGAGCCGUGGCCCGGUGAACCCACCGUACCGGCGCACAGGCCGGUGACUUCCAGUGGGAAGCGAAGACCCUGUGGAGCUUUGCUGCAGUCUGUCGUUGCUGCGGGGGGCCAGACGUGAAGUGUAGGUAGGAGGCGUUACAGAGGUGCGUGCGCUAGCGCGUCACCCAGCCGACAAUGGGACACUACCCGUCUGGAACCCUGCGGCUC
rnacentral:rRNA from 1 species